GACGAACGCUGGCGGCGUGCCUAAUACAUGCAAGUCGAGCGGACCUUUCGGGGUCAGCGGCGGACGGGUGAGUAACACGUGGGCAAUCUGCCCGAUACUCUGGGAUAACGCUUGGAAACGAGUGCUAAUACCGGAUGGUCUUCUUGGCCGCAUGGCCGAGAAGGAAAAGACGCGUUCGCGUCGGUGUCGGAUGAGCCCGCGGCGCAUUAGCUAGUUGGUGAGGUAACGGCCCACCAAGGCGACGAUGCGUAGCCGACCUGAGAGGGUGACCGGCCACACUGGGACUGAGACACGGCCCAGACUCCUACGGGAGGCAGCAGUAGGGAAUCUUCCACAAUGGGCGAAAGCCUGAUGGAGCAACGCCGCGUGAGUGAUGAAGGCCUGG
rnacentral:rRNA from 1 species